AGCAGUGCAGUGUAGUGGUUUGCAUGCUGGACUAGGACUCUUGAGACACUAGGGUUCUAAUCCCCACUCAGCCA